CUACGGGGGGCUGCAGUGAGGAAUUUUGCGCAAUGGGCGAAAGCCUGACGCAGCAACGCCGCGUGAGUGAUGAAGGCCUUCGGGUCGUAAAGCUCUGUCAAGUGGGAAGAACCUAUGUAAUGUUAAUAUCAUUAUAUACUGACGGUACCACUGAAGGAAGCACCGGCUAACUCCGUGCCAGCAGCCGCGGUAAUACGGGGGGUGCAAGCGUUAUUCGGAAUCAUUGGGCGUAAAGGGCACGUAGGCGGCCUGGUAAGUCAGAUGUGAAAGCCCGGGGCUUAACCCCGGAAGUGCAUUUGAUACUGUCAGGCUCGAGUAUGGGAGAGGGAAGUGGAAUUCCUGGUGUAGAGGUGAAAUUCGUAGAUAUCAGGAGGAACACCGGUGGCGAAGGCGACUUCCUGGACCAAUACUGACGCUGAGGUGCGAAGGCGUGGGUAGCAAACAGGAUUAGAUACCCCAGUAGUC
rnacentral:rRNA from 1 species